rnacentral:sRNA from 1 species
CCGGCGGGUGACAUUCAGCCGGCGGUUCGGGGCGACGGACUCUCCAUCCCAGAACCAUGGCCCAAUUUGUCCGUAACCUUGUGGAGAAGACCCCGGCGCUGGUGAACGGCAUUGGCAGUUCUGUUUGGAACUAUCUCUUAGAGCUUUGUGUCUGCUUAAAGCUGCUGUGACUUACUCGAAGCCUCGAUUGGCCACAUUUUGGUACUACGCCAAGGUUGAGCUGGUUCCUCCCACCCCUGCUGAGAUCCCUAGAGCUAUUCAGAGCCUGAAAAAAAUAGUCAAUAGUGCUCAGACUGGUAGCUUCAAACAGCUCACAGUUAAGGAAGCUGUGCUGAAUGGUUUGGUGGCCACUGAGGUGUUGAUGUGGUUUUAUGUCGGAGAGAUUAUAGGCAAGCGGGGCAUCAUUGGCUAUGAUGUUUGAAGACCAAUCUUUAACAUCUGAUUAUAUUUGAUUUAUUAUUUGAGUGUUGUUGGACCAUGUGUGAUCAGACUGCUAUCUGAAUAAAAUAAGAUUUGUCAAAACUCAGUGUUUUCUCCAUCAGAUAGUCCAUGAAAGGUCACAAUUUCUCUUGAUAUUAGGCUGGGUUGUCUUUAAACAACUCUAAAUACACGUCUGUUUAGCCCGCAAUUGGAAAGGAUAUAUGUGGCAAUAUUAACCUGGUACAUGAAUAUAUGGGGAUAACAUUUUAAUUUGAAGGUUUGGAAUAUAUAUAUUUAAGCUUUAUUUCCAGAACAGUGAGGGUUAGGUCUUGGGAAAACUAUAACUUGCCAAAGUAGAAGAAAUAGUAGUACCAUAUGCCAAAGUGAUAGAGAUGAAUCAUGUCGGUAGUUAGAAUAACAUUUCAACUGUUUUCUUUGCUAAAAUCACAGAAAGACCCUAUUGAGAACAUCUAUGUCUGU